AUGGGCAGGGAGGCCCACCCAGAGCGCGGUGUUCUGAUGGAGAAAGGAAGGGUGCUGACCCAGGGGCCCAGGAGGGCUUCCUGGAGGAGGUGGCGCUCAGCUACGUGGGCUUGGUCGCCCACACUCAGUGGCUCAUAUUGGCAAGGGCUCUCAGGAAGGCGCCUCAGCUCUGCUCUUCAGGAUGCAGCUUUGAAGGCGCAUCGGAUGAGGCCCUGCCACGCGGCCUUGGGCCUUGGGAGCUACAGGCAUCCGUGCAGUGAGGCGUCCAUCCAGCAAGUAUUGACAGGACCCUGUCGUAUAGGUGUGAGGCUUGAGGGGCCUGGAGAGGGGACCACAGAGCCCACUUCUGCAACAGAGAAUAUCCGUGGAACACAGGCAGGCCACCUGGGAUGCAGAGAUGCGGUAAAGGUAGGUCUGGGGAAGAGAAGCUGCUGGGAGGACAAUGAGGGGAACAGUGUUGGAGGCAGAGGGAACAGCCCGUGCAAAGGCUCUGAGCAGAAGGCCCCGGCUGCCCCUCUGUCCUCGGAGGGACGUGGUGGGAUGAUGGGGUGGACAGCAGUUCCAGUCAGAGGACACGAGUGUGUGCAGGGCCCUUUCAAGCAGACUUUCUCCAGCAUAGCUGUUGGUGUUGCUCACGUGGCCGCCAGUGGCCUGGCAAACGUGCCGCUGAAACCCUGCUUCAUUGUUUGGGUUUGGGCUUGUGUUUUCUUUUUAAGGAGAAACAGCUGGGAGGCCAGGAGAGCAUGGACAUUUGGAGAGAUUCCUGAGGCCACAGGCCCGGCCAGCGCUGGUUCCCCCACCGACUCCUGCGGGCCUGGGCACAGGGCUACCCGGGAGGGCCGGCCCGCUGCCCCACCAGGCAGGGUGACAGACCCGCCCACGCAGGCCUCAGACUCAGGCUGGCACGACACUGGCCUCAAAGCAAGGGUCUCCCUCCGGGCAGAGCCGCUUGGUGUGUCUCCCACACUCUUGGGAGCCCAGCUCAACCUGGCCAGGCUGAGCCCAGGUCUGAGUCCUCAGCUGCCCAACCCGGGGCUCCACCCUGAACAUCUGUGGGGCCUGGGACCACCCUCCAUGCCCCAGAGCCCCAGACUACACCACGCACCCCGCUGUGACCCUGCACAGCGGCGGCCGGUCACCACCUCCUGGACAUGUCCUAGGAGCCAGGCCCACUCACUCCCCUAG
rnacentral:lncRNA from 1 species